UACGGAGGGUGCAAGCGUUAAUCGGAAUUACUGGGCGUAAAGCGCACGCAGGCGGUUUGAUAAGUCAGAUGUGAAAGCCCCAGGCUUAACCUGGGAACUGCAUCUGAUACUGUCAAGCUUGAGUGCGGUAGGGGGGGGGAGAAUUCCAAGUGUAGCGGUGAAAUGCGUAGAGAUUUGGAGGAACACCGGUGGCGAAGGCGGCCCCCUGGAC
rnacentral:rRNA from 1 species